GCCGCAGCAGCCCGGCAAACUCGCGCGCCCCAGCUUGGGGUACCGAGGCGGCCUGCGGUUUGCAGCUGUGGCUACGCACAAGGCCGUUCCCUCUCUGAGGCGAAGCUCCUUCCGGAGGGCUGGGUCAGAGGACGAGCUGAGGCACCGACGCUGCACCGCCACCUGCUUCGCUCUGCCCGGCUCGUGUUGACUCUGGCAUAGCUGUCUCCAGAGGAAAAAGUCCCAGUUCAAGGAAUUCUGUCACCCCUUGGAGGACUCGAGUUUUCUCCCAGCCUAGUCCCAUGAGCGAUGGAAAUGGAUGGGAGAUUUCUGUUACUGAAUCUGGUAAGUUAAAAGUAAAUA